rnacentral:rRNA from 1 species
UACGUAGGUGACAAGCGUUGUCCGGAUUUACUGGGCGUAAAGAGCGCGCAGGCGGUCGAUCAAGUCGAGUGUGAAAGCCCCCGGCUCAACUGGGGAGGGUCAUUCGAUACUGAUCGACUCGAAGGCAGGAGAGGGUAGUGGAAUUCCCGGUGUAGUGGUGAAAUGCGUAGAUAUCGGGAGGAACACCGGUGGCGAAGGCGGCAUCCUGGACCAAUAUUGACGCUGAGGAGCGAAAGCCAGGGGAGCAAACGGG